rnacentral:lncRNA from 1 species
CCAGAUUCCACAGGUAGCAGUCGCGCUACGGAGGCCGGGUGGCCCGAAGAGGGAAACCCGUGAGGUGGAGUAGCAUGAGCUGGAGCCAUACAGAAUCUGCAGGAAGACCCUCGGGGGAUCUGAGGAAAAGAAUAUUUAGACUCUCCAAGGUCUUCCUUCACAUAGCUGUUAAAUCCAAGGCAACUGUGGAAGCAUGGAUAUUGGUACAUCUUCUGCACGGUCCUCCAGCCCACUUGAAAGGGAUCCUGCCUUUCGGGUGAUUACAGUGGCUAAGGAAACAGGUCUAGGUCUGAAGAUCCUAGGCGGCAUUGAUAGGAAUGAAGGACCAUUGGUGUAUAUUCACGAAGUCACUCCUGGAGGCGACUGUUACAAGGUGGGAAUCUCCGUUGGAGAUAGCAUUUAUCAGACAGAAGUCUUACUGUGGUCAUCCAGGAAACAUUUGCUGUCAGUCCCCACCAGUGUCAGAAGACUGUGAACCUCAAACCUCAGCAUUUAAUCUUCUUUCCUCUCCCGCUGGAACACUACUUCCAAAGACUUCAUCCACUCCCAGGACUCAGGACUCCAUUUUACCCUCCUGUACAGUAAUUCAGACUCAACCUGAGCACAGUCAAGCAGGGCUUGCUCCAGUUCCUUCUUUGAACAACCGCCCUACAGACACAUCCAAUGCAGACAUUGCUCCAGCCUGGACUGAUGACGCUUCUGGACCACAAGGAAAGAUUUCCCUAAAUCCUUCUGCUCGCCUUAAGGCAGAGAAACUGGAAAUGGCUCUCAAUUACCUCGGUAUACAGCCAACAAAGGAACAGCAUGAAGCCCUGAGACAGCAAGUCCAGGCCGACUCAGAGGGGACUGUGUCUUUUGGGGAUUUCGUCCAGGUUGCCAGAAAUUUGUUCUGCUUGCAGUUGGAUGAAGUAAAUGUUGGUGACCAUGAACUCCCCAGCGUCUUGGACUCACAGCUUCUCCCCUGUGGUUCUCUAGAAGCAGAUGAAGUGGGAAGACUGAGACAAGAAAGAAAUGCUGCUCUGGAAGAACGGGAUGCGCUUAAGGAGAAAUUACUCGAAUCAGAGAAGCACAGGAAACAGUUGAUAGAAGAACUCCAGAAUGUGAAACAGGUAAGUCUAUCCAGGAAAGUGUCCAAGACUUGAGAAAGAGAGUCACAGUUCUUGACUGCCAAUUGCGAAAAUCAGAAAUGGCUCGGAAAACAUUUAAGUCAUCCACUGAAAGGCUCCUUCGUUUUGUAGAGGCUAUUCAAGAAGUACUUUUGGACAGUUGUGCUCCUUUAUCAAAUUUAAGUGAAAGAAGAGCUGUGCUUGCCUCUCAGACCUCGCUUCCGCUGCUGGGAAGGAACGGACGUAACUUCCCAGCACCCCUGCUUCUGGAAUCCAAGGAACUUCUUAGGUCUGUCCGUGCCGUACUUGAUAUGGACUGCUUACCUUACGGGUGGGAGGAAGCUUACACAGCAGAUGGGAUCAAGUACUUCAUCAACCAUGUGACACAGACCACGUCCUGGAUCCACCCCAUGAUGAGUGUCCUGAACCUGUCCUGCGCAGAGGAGAGUGAAGAGGACUGUCCCAGAGAACUAAGGGAACCGAAAAGCUGAUGAGUUUCCACGGGCAACGGAGCUCCAGAGACUUCCGACUUUUCAAUAUAUAUGCACAACCAGACGAACGACACCACAACUGAGACACAGGACUCCAGCACAUGCUACCAGGCCGGGUGUCGAGUUGAAACCGUGGUAUUUUUGUGUACAUGCUAAGGAUCAGUUGCCACUGUAGUAGUUGUUUGAAAAUAAUCUAGUCAUAUAUAGUCAGAUUUUAUAUGCAUAUGUCUUCUCAUUUAUACUUAGAUCUUUAUAAUUCAAUGUAUAGUUCCUUGUUUGGUAUAAGAUACAAUGGUUCGUACAGCAACACUUUAUAUUGAAAAGUUAUAUGAACAUAGCGAACAUUCUUGAUAACUCCCCCUCUCUCCUCACAGCGUAGGAAAGAAUUCUGAGGAAGCUAGGGGAGGGCGCCCAACCCUAUCCCAUUAGCUGCUGAUUGCAACUCUUGGGUUUUGGGGUGUUUUUUUUUUUACCAGUGCCUCAUAGGACACCACGUGACAUAUCAUUAGGAAACUUCUAUCGUUUAUAAAAA